CCCUUAGAUGUUCUGGGCCGCACGCGUGCUACACUGAGUGGAUCAGCGGGUCAGGUUGCGCGAAAGCGUUUCCUAAUCUUUAAAUCCGCUCGUGAUGGGGAUUAACGGUUGCAAUUUUCUGUCAUGAACGAGGAAUACCUUGUAAGCGCGGGUCAUCAUCCCGCGCUGAAUACGUCCCUGCCCUUUGUACACACCGCCCGUCGCUCCUACCGAUUGAGUGGUCCGGUGAGGCUUUGGGAUCUGAGCGGAAAGAGCGUUUCGCUGUUUCUGCUCGGAAAACUCAGUCGAACCUUAUCAUUUAGAGGAAGGAGAAGUCGUAACA
rnacentral:rRNA from 1 species